ACGCCACGUUCUGUCGCGUCUCAUCUGGAUCCAAACUGUUUGCAAAGGCCUUUAAAAUUCGGUUCCAGCACUGAAAGGGUUAAAGAAACAUUACUUAAAGCCUGAAAUGUGACAACUUGUUGUUCCGACCUGACAAUUUAAACGUCAAAAUGCAAACAAACAAACAAGCUACUCAGUUUUGUUUGAAAAUGAGCCUCUCUCAUCUCUUAGAUGACGAGGCUUAAUGAUGUGAGUAACAUGUCCAAAAUAAGUGUGUGCAGUCCACACAAGGUAUUCUGGGAGUGUGUGCAGUCCACACAAGGUAUUCUGGGAGUGUGUGCAGUCCACACAAGGUAUUCUGGGAGUGUGUGCAGUCCACACAAGGUAUUCUGGGAGUGUGUGCAGUCCACACAAGGUAUUCUGGGAGUGUGUGCAGUCCACACAAGGUAUUCUGGGAGUGUGUGCAGUCCACACAAGGUAUUCUGGGAUUUUUCCCUCUUUCAUUAAAUUUAAAGUUUAAAGGAGUUCUAAACAAAAAUCAAGUCUAGGUGGAAAAUUUCAUACCUGAUAAGCCAAUGCAGACUGCACAGACUAAUCUUGGAUGGCACUUUACGUACAUACAUUUAGCCCAGGUUUCUCAAAGCGCAGCUCAUAUUCUCAUAUAAGUUAUGAAUAUUCAUGUAUUAUCCACGGCAGUUUUACUGCUACUACAUGGACAUAUUGUGGUUUGAGAAAAUAUCUUUUUAAGACUUAAGAUUGCAAAAGGGUAACAUUUAAAAUAUGUUAUUUAAUGGAAAUUAUCUUUAAAAAAAAAAGUCCAUGCUCAUCAUCUACUUUUUGAUCUAAAGGAUUAAAAAGGCCUUAAUGA